rnacentral:piRNA from 1 species
UAACAUAGCAUUGAUUUCGCC